GGUGAGAAAUCAAGAGUGACUCCCAUGUUUUUGGUUCAGCUACAGGAAGAAUGAGGCUCCCAUCAACUGAGAGGAAGAAGACUAUAGGUGGAGCUGGCAUGUGGGGAGAAGAUCAGGAGUUCAGUGAAGGCAUGUUGAGUGUGACCUCCAAGUGGAGCUAUGCAGUGGACAGCUGGAUACACGAGACUGGAGGGCAGUCAUUUGGACAAAAGUGACUGGAUCACAUGCCAACUAUGUUCCCCUGACCCAUUAUGAGCUGCCAACAGACAAUGGGACGGAGAGAAAGCCAACAUGUGAUGUGUCGGAGUCAUGGAGAACACUGAAUAUGGCCAUUUGGACUCAUUUGGUGAAGGACUGGCAGGCCAGCCAGGACAUGCUCUUCUCAUGGUGAUGGCAAAGGCAUGAGAGAGGAAACCCUAUUGCACAAGCACAUUUCCAGCCUCUGUUUGUGUCAUCUACUAGCAUCCCAUUGGACAAGGAGAGUCAAAUAACCAAGUCCAGAGUCAAGGAAUGAGGAGAUACCAUCUGCUAAGGAAUCUACAAGAGGGAAAUAGAUACCUUCAAGGAAAGAAGUUGCUUGUCUAAGGCCCGGGCAAGUUCCAGCAUCAUCGCACAUGGCACGGCUGAAUCAGUGGCUCCCACAAACACUCUGUUGUCCCAAUGGG